rnacentral:tRNA from 1 species
GCUAGUGUAGCUUAAUGCAAAGCAUAACACUGAAGAUGUUAAGACGGGCCCUAGAAAGCUCCGCAUGCA